UGUAACACCUCCCAUCACGCAGACUGACAGUGACUCUGGUCUCUGAGUUCAUUCUGCUUACAACACAAUCAUGAUGACAGCAGGUCUGAUCCCAGUCUCUGCAGCUCUGCUCUGGAUUGUAGGUCUAAUCGAUGGCAGUGAUGUCACCCAGAGCCCUCUGCUGUGGAGGGCCGAGGGUCAGUCGGCCACAAUGAACUGCAGUCACACUAAGGAUGCUACUUUUUUUCAGAUGUACUGGUACAGACAGCUGCCAGGGGAGGGAAUGAAGCAAAUCGUUUUCACGACUCCAACUCCCCCACAUAAAUAUGAAAGUGGCUUCAAUGAGGAGAAAUUUCCAGCAACAAAGAACAAUGCUCUGACUGGAUCUUUGACGGUGGAGAAGCUGCUGCCUGAGGACAGUGGAGUGUAUUUUUGUGCUGUGAGUCAACACAGUGAUACAAGUGACUUAGACAGCUGCACAAAUACUCAUGUGAAUAGAAGAUAACAGUCUCUUUGAGGGACUACAGAGGGAGCUCUAAACCAACACUGAUAUCUGUUACAAAUUACACAUUCAGAUUUCUGUAGGAUUCAAGCAGGU